rnacentral:rRNA from 1 species
AAAUCCCGACUUCGGAAGGGAUGUGUUUAUUAGAUAAAAAACCAAUGCCCUUUCGGGGCUCUUUGGUGAUUCAUGAUAACUUUACGGAUCGCAUAGCCUUGCGCUGGCGACGGUUCAUUCAAAUUUCUGCCCUAUCAACUUUCGAUGGUAAGGUAUUGGCUUACCAUGGUUUCAACGGGUAACGGGGAAUUAGGGUUCGAUUCCGGAGAGGGAGCCUGAGAAACGGCUACCACAUCCAAGGAAGGCAGCAGGCGCGCAAAUUACCCAAUCCCGACACGGGGAGGUAGUGACAAUAAAUACUGAUACAGGGCUCUUUUGGGUCUUGUAAUUGGAAUGAGUACAAUUUAAACCUCUUAACGAGGAACAAUUGGAGGGCAAGUCUGGUGCCAGCAGCCGCGGUAAUUCCAGCUCCAAUAGCGUAUAUUAAAGUUGUUGCAGUUAAAAAGCUCGUAGUUGAAACUUGGGCCUGGCUGGCGGGUCCGCCUCACCGCGUGCACUCGUCCGGCCGGGCCUUCCUUCUGAAGAACCUCAUGCCCUUCACUGGGCGUGUUGGGGAAUCAGGACUUUUACUUUGAAAAAAUUAGAGUGUUCAAAGCAGGCCUUUGCUCGAAUACGUUAGCAUGGAAUAAUAAAAUAGGGCGUGCGUUUCUAUUUUGUUGGUUUCUAGAGACGCCGCAAUGAUUAACAGGAACAGUCGGGGGCAUCAGUAUUCAGUUGUCAGAGGUGAAAUUCUUGGAUUUACUGAAGACUAACUACUGCGAAAGCAUUUGCCAAGGAUGUUUUCAUUAAUCAGUGAACGAAAGUUAGGGGAUCGAAGACGAUCAGAUACCGUCGUAGUCUUAACCGUAAACUAUGCCGACUAGGGAUCGGGCGAUGUUCUUUUUCUGACUCGCUCGGCACCUUACGAGAAAUCAAAGUUU